rnacentral:snRNA from 1 species
UUCCACCUGCUCAUAACCAGUAUCGUAGCCAAUGAGGUUAAUCCGAGGCGUGAUUAUUGCUAGUUGAAAACUUUUAUCUCUAGCAUAGUGUUUGCAGUGACGGAGACUGUCUCAGGUUCAGAGCUCUUAGCAUCCUUGCUUGAUGUGCACAGGCAUGCAUUCCAACUUAGACUGUAAACAGUUUGGGACAGGGAAUUUUUGUUUUGUGUCUGUAU